GNNCUCGACCUUCGGGUCACAUGAGUGAGUGGCGAACGGGUGAGUAACACGUGAGGAACCUGCCCCGAAGACUGGAAUAACCCGAGGAAACUCGGGCUAAUACCGGAUAUCCCCACCAGGCCGCAUGGCCAGGUGAGGAAAUGCUCCGGCGCUUCGGGAGGGUCUCGCGGCCUAUCAGCUAGUUGGUGAGGUAACGGCUCACCAAGGCAUCGACGGGUAGCUGGUCUGAGAGGACGAUCAGCCACACUGGGACUGAGACACGGCCCAGACUCCUACGGGAGGCAGCAGUGGGGAAUCUUGCGCAAUGGGCGAAAGCCUGACGCAGCCACGCCGCGUGAGGGAUGAAGGCUUUCGGGUUGUAAACCUCUUUCAGCAGGGACGAAAAUGACGGUACCUGCAGAAGAAGCUCCGGCCAACUACGUGCCAGCAGCCGCGGUAACACGUAGGGAGCAAGCGUUGUCCGGAUUUAUUGGGCGUAAAGAGCUCGUAGGCGGUUCAGUCAGUCGGGUGUGAAAACUUGAGGCUCAACCUCAAGAGGCCACUCGAUACUGCUGUGACUAGAGUCCGGUAGAGGAGUGUGGAAUUCCUGGUGUAGCGGUGAAAUGCGCAGAUAUCAGGAGGAACACCGACAGCGAAGGCAGCACUCUGGGCCGGUACUGACGCUGAGGAGCGAAAGCAUGGGGAGCAAACAGGAUUAGAUACCCUGGUAGUCCAUGCCGUAAACGUUGGGCACUAGGUGUGGGGUCUCGCUAACAGAUUCCGUGCCGCAGCUAACGCAUUAAGUGCCCCGCCUGGGGAGUACGGCCGCAAGGCUNAAA
rnacentral:rRNA from 1 species